GACGGGAACAGCAACAAAAGUUUAACUUCUGAUUCGUAAUCCACACGCUCUACUGGGCAGUUGGUGAAGACAGAGAGAUGUUGUGACGUCCAGGACAGUUCCUCCUUCAACACCAGACUCUGCUGGCACCUAUUUUUCAAGGACACCCUCAGAAUUACAACAAAUUUUAAGGCUUAAAAUUAUUGUGGUUUGGAGUAUAAUGAACAUAAUAUGAAUGUUUCAUAAAUUAUUUUGUGGAUUUUCUGAACCCUUAAUAACUGUUAUUUUUUCUUAUUUUGAGCAAAUUUGAGUCGUGACAUGUCAAAGGAGAACAAAAGCUGUGAACAGAAGAAGGGUCAGAUGUGUGUGUUCUGCGAAGUCCUGCAAACAUACUGGCAAAAUGAGAGUCAUCGAGGAACCAGCUUGUUCUUGAAACAUUGGACGGUACAGAAAGUGCACAAGUGGGAGAGAGUGGAGGGGACGGCGUCAGAAAGGACCUAGCGCUGGGACACUUUCAAGGAUCACCCGAACCACAACCACACUGUAUACACGAGGCUGCUGGUUCUAACAUUUUAGAGUCCCCUUUGGUAGAAAUCACAUUUUGGAGGAUCUGUCCAGAUCUUUCACCAUAGAAAACAUUUGGCGCAUCAUAAAGAGGAAGAUGUGACAAAGAAGACCGAAGACAGUUGAGCAGCUAGAAGCCUGUAUUAGACAAGAAUGGAACAACAUUCCUAUUCCUAAACUUGAGCAACUUGUCUCCUCAGUCCCCAGACGUUUGCAGACUGUUAUAAAAAGAAGAGCGGAUGCCACACAGUGGUAAACAUGGUCUUGUCCCAACUUUGAGAUGUGUUGAUGCCAUGAAAUUUAAAAUUAACUUAUUUUUCCCUUAAAAUGAUACAUUUUCUCAGUUUAAACAUUUGAUAUGUCAUCUAUGUUGUAUUCUGAAUAAAAUAUUGAAAUUUGAAACUUCCACAUCAUUGCAUUCUGUUUUUAUUCAGAAUUUGUACAGUGUCCAAACUUUUUUGGAAUUGGGU
rnacentral:lncRNA from 1 species